GGAUCCUUGUCUUUACUUUAUUGGACGCUCUGUUGCUGUUGCUCGGAAUGUACUUUGUCAACGAUUGCUUGUACAGAAGUAAAGAUGAUGACAUGUUAUAUUCUAGAGCCAUUUACUACACCCUAAGCGCGGGUGAGACUAAACUUAAAGGUGAGAUUAAUGAUUCCAUAUGUGCAGUAUUUAAAUAUGAUAGGUUCUAAAUAUUAAUUAAAAGUGAUAUUAGGAAAAGGAACACAAACACUAAAGCUUGAUUAGCUAUGCUAACAAAAUGCAGGGUAAAAAUCAAGAAACUGUUUAGAGCAGCUGAUAUUUAUGUCAUUAAGAUAAAACUCCUCUCACUAUGGCUGCAUCUUUCCAUUAGAUGAUGACAUGUUAUAUUCUAGAGCCAUUUACUACACCUUACGCCCGGGAGAGACUGAACUCAAAGGUCUCAGAAAAAUAGUGGCAUGAAGACAAAAUCACAUCUGAGUGAAUUAUCACACAUUGUUAUUACAAUUGAACAAGCUGUACAUUGUCUGCUAUGUAUAUAAUUAAACUAUAAAU
ensembl:lncRNA